rnacentral:rRNA from 1 species
UACGAAGGGGGCUAGCGUUGUUCGGAUUUACUGGGCGUAAAGCGCACGUAGGCGGAUCUUUAAGUCAGAGGUGAAAUCCCAAGGCUCAACCUUGGAACUGCCUUUGAUACUGGGGAUCUUGAGUCCGGGAGAGGUGAGUGGAACUGCGAGUGUAGAGGUGAAAUGCGUAGAUAUCUGGAGGAACACCGGUGGCGAAGGCGGCGUUCUGGACUGUUACUGACACUGAGGAACGAAAGCCAGGGGAGCAAACGGG